rnacentral:rRNA from 1 species
CCUACGGGUGGCAGCAGUGGGGAAUAUUGCGCAAUGGGCGAAAGCCUGACGCAGCGACGCCGCGUGAGGGAUGAAGGUCUUCGGAUCGUAAACCUCUGUCAGCAGGGAAGAACAGUCACUGUGCUAAUCAGCAGUGAAUUGACGGUACCUGCAAAGGAAGCACCGGCUAACUCCAGGCCAGCAGCCGCGUUAAUACGGAGGGUUCGAUCGUUAAUCGGAAUUACUUGGGGUAAGGCUCUCGUAGGCGGUAGGUCAAGUCAAGGGUGAAAUCCCCGACCUCAACGUGGGAAUUGCCUUUGAAACGGGCAAACUAGAGUGUGUGAGAGGAUGGUGGAAUGCCAGGUGUAGGGGUGAAAUCCGUAGAUAUCGGGAGGAACAUCAGUGGCGAAGGCGACUAUCUGGCACAUAACUGACGCUGAGGAGCGAAAGCGUGGGUAGCAAACAGGAUUAGAUACCCUAGUAGUC